rnacentral:lncRNA from 1 species
CUUUAGUUAGGUGCAUCAUCAUGGCAAUUCUCCAUGCUGGUUAGUGAUCAUUUCCUGAUGAACCAGAGUCCUUCCCAAGCAAAUUUGGUGUGUGUGUGUUUUGUAUCCGGCGUGAGUCAGAACUGUGUAAGCGUUUACUAUUGUCCUAAUGGUAACAGAAGCCAGUACUGUUAGAAUGCAGACGCAGUGCUGGGCACUGUCUUGAAACUGCCACAGGUUCACGCGCUCAAGCCUGUCAGCAAGCCCAUCGUGGGGAAACCAUCAGGCUUCCUGACAAAGGGUUCUGGCCAGAGGCGGAUCCAGGUUUUGCAGGGCCUGGAGCUCGUACAAUUUGGGGAGCCCUUGUGAAGGAAAGGAAUACAAAGUUACAAAUAUAAAAUUACAUCCAGGUCCUUGGAAGGCGCCCAAAGAAGAGAAGGGCUCUGAAGCUGUACGCUCUACCAAGCUUGAUUAGCUGGCAGUGAGCAAAGUCGCUUCUUGUAUGGUGCAACUCUUCUGUGUCUGUUUACAAAUUCCAUUCCCUAAUACAAGAACCACACUGCGCCUGUCUGCCCAACUCAGGUAGGAUGAUAUGCUAAUGGUUCUUUGUGUAGAAUGCAUACCACAGUUAUCCAAUGCUGACUAUAUUGAUUUAAUUUUUCCUCUUUUGCAUUUCCUACUUGCUUCCCCCUACCCCAAGUUCCUUUGCAAUUUACUGAAUUUACUUUCACUGUGUAUGUCAUUGACUUUAACGUAUUUCUAAUUCAUCGAAUAGAAUUUAAUUUCAAAAAGCUUCUGUUACAGGAAGCUGGUCCAAUCUGUGUCACUCUUUGAGUUUUGAAGACUGUUAGGAGGUUCUUUGGUUGCAUAUAAUAGAGACUGGGUUUAAUUAACUUAGGCAAGAAGAAGGAACUGUGGGAGGGCUCCUGGGCAGACCCAGAACAUCUCUGAUGAUCUCAGUCGUGACCCAUCUUGCUCCAGGGCAACCAUCACUUGGCCAAACGCCAAACGCCUAUCCCUGAGCACCUCUACUCAAGACUCAGACUCCCAGGAAGGAUUGACUGGUCUCAGUUACAUUCUGUUCUCACUCUGUGGCCAAGACUGAGUGAGGUGUCUUAUGCUGGCUGUUGCUUCCCCAAAGAAAAGGUGGAUGCUAUACUCACAAGAAGGGGGGAAGGAAUACUAAGUUGACAAAAACAAAAGGAGCCGUGAUACCCACCACAGUCUUGAUUUUGUACCAUUUUAUAUAAGAGAGGACUCCAAUUGAACACACAUGCCCCCUUUCUCUCUCAUCCAAUUUUUCUUUCUAAUUUUGAAAUUAGCAUGUACACAUUCACGAUGAUCUUUAAAAGCUCAUGGAAGAAAUAGAUGUGUGAAAGAGCAAGAGCAUGGCAAGGAAAUCUAACUGUUAUUGAGCACUGCCCAUAUGCCAGACGCUUUAUAUUUAUAUUUAGAAAGCCCUGUCAUAUAAACUGUUGUUUUUCUAAUAAAUUUCUUGAACUCCUGCAUCCUCUAGAACCAAGAUGAACAGUAUUUCCCUCUUGAGAAUUCUUCUGUACCCUCUGUAAAUUGUCCAAGGACCUCUUGGGAUUACUUUAGCCCAGUGGUUUUCAACUAGGGCACCUUAACCCCCCCAGAGGACAUUUGGCAACAUCUGCAGGCAUUUUUGGUCAUUAUAGGGGGUGGGGUUCUCCACCAGCAUCAGUGGGUAAGGCUAGAGGUGUGUCUACAUAUCCUACAAUGCUGAAGGCAACCUCCCACGAUAAGGAACUAUCUGGCCCCAAAUGUCCAUAGUACCAAAGCUGAGAAGCUAAGCUUUCACUCAAGGGGCUCGGCUCUAGUCCAAACACCAAGCAAAGAAGAAAUGAUGAGUUAAUCUGUGUAAUACCACUGUUGUUCACCUCUGCCACAUGGGGUCACUGGAGAAGAUCAGUCCAGCGCAGUCUGGUAACCGUUCACUCUGGUGAGAAUCUCUGUUGGCACACAGUGGUGCCCCAUACUGGCUCUUUAUUUCACAUUCACAUGUUUACAUGUUAUUUCCUAAAGUCCAACAGCUGAGCCGGGAAGACUGGAUUCGAGAUGCUUCUAUUUUAGCCACAGAUAGAUUCUCUGCAGGAGGAAAAGACCCUGAACUCUAGGAUUUACCUGUGGCUCUUACCCUGAACUUUGCCUCCCGACGCAGAGUUAAUCCUGCAGAUAGAUUCCUACUACAGGUUCACUGUUGGUCGGAUUUCAGACUCUCUGGGCCUUUUCCCUUUGCCCUCCUUGCCCCAUCACUAAGGCUUCAUUCAUUUUUCCAAUUUUUGUCAGGUCUGUGAACAUGUACUCUUUUCUCUUUUUUCCCUUGAGGAAGAUUCACUCUGAGCUAAUAUCUGUUGCCAAUCUUCCUCUUUGUUUUUGCCUGAGGAAGACUGUCCCUGAGCUAACAUCUGUGCCAGUCUUCCUCUAUUUUGUAUGUGGUUGCAGCCACAGCAUGGCUGAUGAGUAGUGUGGGUCUGUGUCCGGGAUCCGAACCUGCAAAUCCAGAUCACCGAAGCAGAGUGCACCAAACUUAACCACCAGGCCAUGGGGGCUGGCCCCUGUGAACAUGUCCUC